GAUAUAUGAAAAUAUUUCAGAUAUAGAAUACUAUGGACAGAUCUGUCCGGAGUAGAACAAGUUCAACUAGUUCUGUUAGAUCUCCAGUGGGUUCCUCUACUCCAGCUCCUACACCUAUUGGACAAGUUACUCCAGCACCAGCUAGACAUACUCAUAGAAAUAGAGUCCCAUCACCAGACCAGCUUACAGCUUCUCUUACCAGACUAAGGGCAGAACGUGGACUAUCUAACCCUGCUACUCCAGCUCCUACUCCUAACAGUAGUGCUCCGCUGCACCACCAUUCUCUUCAUCCAGACGCAAUACUUGCUGGAAUAUCAAGUAUAGGGGGAGACGAAGGAAUUGCAAGCGGAUCUGUUCCAGGUACUCCAGCACCUACUCCUUUCUCUCCUUCUCCUAGUGUAACACAGCAUAUACAGCCUGAGCAGAUAGCAGCGUCCAUAGCGAGGUUAAGAGAGGAAGGAAUACUAUCAUUGUCCAGUACUCAACCAACUACACCUUCAACUACUCCGGCAUAUCCCCCAUAUCAAGGACAAGUACUAGUAAACAACCUGGGAAUAAUACCUGAGCAUCUAGCUGAAGGUAUCGCAGGACUAGACGCUAGAAGAGACGAGGGACUAGAUUCAGGGAGUAAUCCUUGUACUCCUAUACCCACUCCUUUCUCUCCAUCUCCAGCACAGCACUCAGUUCUAGCAGAACAGCUGGCAGCUGGUAUUACCAGGCUGAAGGUCGAGGAAGGAAUGUCUAGUGGUGGUAGUACUGGAAUGCCGGCCACACCGGCACCAACACCGUUUUCACAUGGACCUGGUGGCGUUAGACCAGAGGAUCUGGCGGCGGGAAUAUCCCGCCUCUCCGUCAUUCAAGAGGCGACGGACUCAGCUCCGGCGGUGGCAAUAAAUGUGCUCGAUGCAUCUGGUGUAUCGGCGACUGGAAGCAAUCUAUCUAAUUAUUUCGGUAGUCCCGCCGGAGAUAAUAUAUUUGACCAGCUAGCUACGCCGGCCCCGGGGAAUGGAACUAGAUCAAGAACAAAUAGUAAUUCUGUAGAGGGGUUCCAUGACGUUACGAUUGAGACUCCGGCCAAAAGAUAUAUGAACAACUCCGGGUUAAGCAGUGCGUCUCCUGCACUCACCUUGCCCUGUCCAAAUGUAGGCGGAGGUACCACGCCCCUUCAGUUUGGAAUUCAUACUCCUAAUAGUUUCCCAUCCACGCCUCUCAACCCCAACUCUGAUCUUGUAUCCAGUACUCCCACGGAUCUCCUGUCUCCGGCUAGCACCAUCUCGGCGUAUGCUACCCCUGAAGCUCCGACUCCGGUUGUAGAGUCUAAAAAUGAUAUCUCCAUGUACAUGGAUAGUGCUGAUACUACACCCCAGGCUACGCCUGUUAAUAAACCUAGUUCAAACCUUGUUCUAGCUCCUCCUCCGUCUUCUGUCAACAGACCUGAAUCUCCAGCAUGUAUUAAGUCCAGUAGUAACCAGGAACUGGAUGCUUGGAUACCUACUCCUGCUUGUAAUGAGGUGCUGGAUAGUAUGGCAACCACUCCUGGUACCUACUACCCCACCAGGGACCAACUGACCUGUCCUGGUGUUUCCCCGGGUAGUGAACAGGGAGACCCGGUUAGAGACCUUGUGGCGAAGUACCAGGGCGAAGGAGAGGCGUGUAAAAGGCGGAUUCUUGCGGCCGAUGGUGUAACUACAGAUACACGAGGACUCCAGCAGUUGAUUGCGGCCGGGAACUACAGAGCGGCAAUCAACCUGACCGCUCAGCUACUAGAGAUGUAUGGUCAGGGUAAGGGUAAAGUAGGUCAACUAUCUAAACAUUCUCCGACUAGUUUACAAAUCUGGUUCACAAGAUUAGCUCUCCUGGUCAAACUUAAGCUUUUCACCGUAGCAGAGUCGGAGGUCAGUCAGUUCGGCGACCUGGAUAAACCAGAUCUGUUCUACCAGUACUAUACAGAGCUUUACGGAGGUCGGCGAGGAAGUAUGGUUCCAUGGAGUCUAAGAUUACUUGCUGCUCAAAUACCAGGUCUCAACGGUAAACCGAUACAGAGCUUCAACAAACUCUUUACCCUUCUCUUUUCUGUGAGAGAGAUAUUAAAGAACCUGGAGAAGGGAAUGACCGCGGACGGUAAUGUUUGGUUGGACGUGGAUGAAGAAGAGAAAAAAAGAGCCGAAGAAUGCUGGGCGGAGAGAGAACGACAAGUUCUCUAUUCUCUCAUUAACAAUUCUAUACUAAGCGCUGAUUAUGAUUCCGCGAUCAAAUGUCUGGAUCUUUUACUUCCGGUUGAGAAGGUGGAGCGUAAGGGUGCUCUUCAUGCUGCCUAUGGACGAUUAUAUCUCCAGUUAGGAAAUAUCUCGAAAGCGGACGAAUGUUUUGUUGAAGCGAGUAAACUGCGGGAUAAUUCAAACCCUCAGGAUCAGUUAGAGGGGUAUCUGGACUCAGCCUUCCUUGCAAUAGGUCAAGGUUUGUUUGAAUCAGCCCUUGAGAGAUUCCAGAGUGCUCUAGUUCUAUCCAGUGGAAAGCAGGAUAGGAUUAUUCGGAACAAUAUCUCCGUAUGCCUUCUAUACCUGGGUAGGUUGAAGGAGGGACUGGAGAUAUUAGAGAACUCGAUAACCUCUGACACUGCUAAUAUUCAGGGGAACCCUAUUCUAAACCUAUGUACCCUGUAUGAGCUAGAGUCUAGCUAUGCUUUACAGAAGAAAAUUGGAAUGCUAGGAUUAGUUGCUAUUCAUUCUCCAGACUCGUUCCCUACAUCAUCCCUCAAACUAUAAUUUUCACAUCAUCUUGAUUUUGAUUAAUCUGCAUUGUUAUAGUUCUACAGAAGCCGCCUGAACAUAAGUGUCAGAAGAGUUAGAACUGAACCUUAACGCAACGGGAAAUUGUCAAAUGCUAAACAAAAUAUUAUCUUGUAUUUAUUCAAUGUUUUCUUCUGAUUGUGAUAGAAUAAAAUAUAAUGGAAUUAUCUAUU
rnacentral:misc_RNA from 1 species